UCCGAAUAUCUGAUUCUACUCAUUUUCAAAACUGUGUCACCAAAUCCUGUUCAGUUCCUAAAGCCCCACCCUCAGAUUCCCAUGUGCCUGUCUUCAAACAUGGUUGGCAUCUGUUGAGUCAAAGGAGCCAGGAGGUGGAGACUGAGAAGAUUUAGAAGCUCUGAUGAAGUGGAUGGAGAAUGGAACCAACUGAGGUUAUGUAGAAUUGGCUCCUGAGGGCCAGAUAACAUCAGGAAUCACGUGCUGGUGAUGGAGGAGCCAGAUAGGAUGGUAAUUUCCCAUGAAAUCUGAGUGGGAGAAGAUCAGGAGAAGGAAACACUAAAGAUAGAGACAGAAGGCAGAAACUUGAUGGAGCCAGGUCAUGGAGUAGGCAGGAGAUGGGAGCAAAGGUAAAAUACAGGUGGAGUUUGCAACACCAGGGCUCCUUCUGCGUUGGAAAGGGUUGACCAUCAAAAGGAAAUCUGUGCCAUUUACCCAGUGGAGAAAUAAAUCUUCCUUUACUCACUUUUGCCCUGGCUCCUAUGUAAGAAGUCCAAAUGAACCCUGUUUCAUCUUAUUUCAUCUUUGGAAUUCCAGGAUUCUAUUUGGAAUUAUGACUCUGACUGCCUCUGGAACGUGUUGCAUCAGGAAAACUCACCAAGACUCAAACCAAGACAGAGAAGAAAAUGAAUAUGGAAAGAUGAGGAUGUGGCCUAAAUGAGAAAUCCUGCCCGACACACGAAAGAAUGCAGCAUUUCCUGGAGCGUGGGCUGCUCAGGUCUGGCUCUCUAGGAUGGACUUGAGUAAACCUGGUAAAAGAUGCUUAUGCUGUUACAGAAUGAGAAAACUCGGCAACAUCAUCCAUGCCCAGAGGUCCUAACGUUCAGCAAAGCCCCACCAUGAGUUAGUUGGAACAUACAAAAAAUGCAUCUUACAAAAAUACCUCCCCACCAAGAAAAACAGAAGAUACUAGUUGGGAAGAAAGGAAAGUGAGAUCUGUCUCAUGACAUUAGAAACAGAUGAUUGCUCAAUAUCUUUAUUCUGAAAGCCAUGGCUUCUAAAUUUUUUUAAAAACUGUAAGCUACAAUUGUUUUUCCUGGGCCCUGCUGGAAGUCACAGGGUAAAUAAGGCACAGCCGUCCUUCCCUUUGCUGGUGGCCCUCUCGGAUGGUGACAUGUCGUAGCAGCAGUGGUGCCUCUGAACAAAAAUAAUGAGAGAAACAUCUGUCUCCUGCUACGCUCUUUUCCAGGCAAAUGGCACUUAAGAUUCUUAUUUUAGACUUGUAAGUGCUCCCACAAAAAAGCAGCUUCGGUGUUAACCACAUCUCCUUCUUUCUUUGAAUCUGUGGAUCACUUUUUCCUUUGCUUGUAUUUUAAGACAGUUUAAAAACAAAGAUGACAA